CUACGUGCCAGCAGCCGCGGUAAUACGUAGGGAGCGAGCGUUAUCCGGAUUUAUUGGGUGUAAAGGGUGCGUAGACGGAAAUGCAAGUUAGUUGUGAAAUACCUCGGCUUAACUGAGGAACUGCAACUAAAACUAUAUUUCUUGAGUAUCGGAGGGGUUUGUGGAAUUCCUAGUGUAGCGGUGAAAUGCGUAGAUAUUAGGAAGAACACCGGUGGCGAAGGCGACAAACUGGACGAUAACUGACGUUGAGGCACGAAAGUGUGGGGAGCAAACAGGAUUAGAUACCCUGGUAGUCCACACCGUAAACGAUGGAUACUAGGUGUUGGCAAUGAAUAAUUGUCGGUGCCGGCGCUAACGCAAUAAGUAUCCCACCUGGGGAGUACGACCGCAAGGUUGAAACUCAAAGGAAUUGACGGGGGCCCGCACAAGCAGUGGAGUAUGUGGUUUAAUUCGAAGAUACGCGAAGAACCUUACCAAGGCUUG
rnacentral:rRNA from 1 species